GAUUUUUAGAAUAAUAUGGAUUUAUAAUCAAAUAUUUUUAAAGUUAAAUUUAAUUCAAUUAAAUCAUUUGAUUAACAUGUUAUAUGAAUAUAAAUGUUUCGGUAUAGCUAAAGUUGUUUUUAAAACCACCAGAAAGCAUCAAGGUGAUUUUACCCCAGUCUGCACUGAUGUGAAUGUGUUUCCACAAUAUAUGAUUAGUUAUGAUGAUUUUACCCGCUCUGCAUUAUUGUGAAUGUGUUUCCCUGGUGUAUGACCAGAUUAUCAGAGGUCUUUGGGACUCACUCUUGUACACACAUAGACUUUGGGCCGUAUACUAAGGUGAUUAGCCUUUGAGACAGCUCUGUGUACGUAUGAUCAGAUUAUCAGAAUAUCAGAUUUGAAUGGCUCUGCCGUGUACAUCGAGAUUACUCUGUACAUGAGUAAGAAAGCAGACGAAUUGAGCAGCUUUAGAGCAUGUCGAACCACCGAAUUGUGCCACGCACCAUAGGUUGUAUGACAUCCUUUAUCAGAUUAUACAUUAUGUGUUCUUUUGGGAUGCAUAUAGUUUAAAUCAGAAAAAUUCAUAUUGGGCUCAUUAGAUAUUUGGUAUCUUUAGUAUAUUAAAUGAUUGUUGGUUGUAAAGCAAGUAAAUAUUGAUUUUUCAACAUUUUAUUUGAAUAAUUUGUAUUUUGAGGGACUGGCGUACCCUGAUUUAUAUAAUAGGUAUUGAUUUGAGGAAAA